GAAGAAUCAAAAGACCCUGUGGUUCAGUUUCUGGAAGGAGAACUACUCAUAGUGUGUUUGUAUUGCAAUCCAGGUGGAAGCUUUGCCCCAAGGGAAAAAAUGAGCCUUCUAAAGAACUGCCGAAGUUUUCUGUCAAACUUUUUCUUCAUUCCAGUGGCCAUGUUGCAGCGAAAUUCCAAUAUGACCAGGUAAUAAUUUCUGCUUUUCGGGAUUGGCUGUUUUGAGGGCUUAGUUAUUUGAAAAUUUGAGUCUGGGUUAUGGAUGUUC